CAAGAGCGUAUGUAAAAGUUGUUGCAGUUAAAAAGCCCGUAGUUGAACCUUGGGUUUGGUUGGCCGGUCCGCUUUUUUGCGAGUACUGGAUUCAACCGAGCCUUUCCUUCUGGCUAACCAGUCGUUUCGGCGGCUGGCGAACCAGGAUUUUUACUUUGAGAAAAUUAGAGUGUUCAAAGCAGGCAUUAGCUUGAAUAUAUUAGCAUGGAAUAAUAGAAUAGGACGUUAUGGUUCUAUUUUGUUGGUUUCUAGGACCAUCGUAAUGAUUAAUAGGGACGGUCGGGGGCAUCAGUAUUCAGUUGUCAGAGGUGAAAUUCUUGGAUUUACUGAAGACUAACUACUGCGAAAGCAUUUGCCAAGGACGUUUUCAUUAA
rnacentral:rRNA from 1 species